rnacentral:rRNA from 1 species
GGGUUAUACUGUCUCCUUUCUCUAAUCAGUGAAACUAAUCUCCCCGUGAAGAAGCGGGGAUAAAACUAUAAGACGAGAAGACCCCAUGGAGCUUUAAACCUAGCCACACCCCGAACCUUUAUACCCAGUUAUUAUCCGAACCCUGUAAGCUAGGCUUUAGGUUGGGGUGACCGCGGAGUAAAACAAAACCUCCGCAAUGAACGAAACUACCAUCUAAUCUAAGAAUUAUCAUUCUAAGAAUUAAUACUUUAACAUAAAUGAUCCAAUUAUUGAUCAACGGACCAAGUUACCCUGGGGAUAACAGCGCAAUCUACUUCAAGAGCUCCUAUCGACAAGUGGGUUUACGACCUCGAUGUUGGA